rnacentral:rRNA from 1 species
UACAGAGGGGGCAAGCGUUGUUCGGAAUUACUGGGCGUAAAGGGUGCGCAGGCCGCGCGGGCAGUCAAAUGUGUAAUCCAGGGGCUCAACCCCUGAACUGCGCUUGAUACUUCCGCGCUCGAGCUUUGGAGAGGAGUCUGGAAUUCUCGGUGUAGCAGUGAAAUGCGUGGAUAUCGAGAAGAACACUUAGGGCGUAGGCAAGACUCUGGACAAAUGCUGACGCUCAUGCACGAAGGCUAGGGUAGCGAACGGG